CCUAGACCCACUAUCAAGUGUGUGCUUGGACAUGACUUUAUCCUGCACUUUCCAGUGCUGCACUUGGGGAAUCAAAGAAAAGUGAAAGUGCCAUGUCAAAGUUGAUGACCAGAAGCUUGCUAUUGGAACCCUCUCUAUUGAAAAAUACCCUUAGAUAUAAAUUGAUUUGGUUUUCAAUAAAGAGUGUGAGCUAUCACACACAUCGAAAACUACCAGUGUAUUUUUCUUUGGUUACAAGGUUGUGCAACCAAUCGAGGAAGAUGAAUAUUCUUUUUAACAUUGAUUUUUUAUUAGUUUUAUUUCAUGUAAGACUGAUCUAAACUAUUUCUUUGUGGAGUAUUUUGUUUCCUUGACCUCAUUUUUGCUUCUUGCCUCUUACAUAAUCGAUCUUGAUUCUGAAGAUGAAGAGAAGGAGCUAAACAUUCCAGUAAUCAAGGAAAAUGGCAAAGGUGAUGGGAUGGAGGACCAGAGAAGUGAAGAGAAGGCAGUUGCUGCAGCUUCAAAAUCAAGUCUUGGGCUUGAAAAAAAACAAGGAUGAGUAUGAGUCUAAUGAUUCUGAUGAGGGA